UGGGGAAUAUUGCACAAUGGGGGAAACCCUGAUGCAGCAACGCCGCGUGAGUGAUGAAGGCCUUCGGGUUGUAAAGCUCUGUCUUCAGGGACGAUAAUGACGGUACCUGAGGAGGAAGCCACGGCUAACUACGUGCCAGCAGCCGCGGUAAUACGUAGGUGGCAAGCGUUGUCCGGAUUUACUGGGCGUAAAGGGAGCGUAGGCGGAUACUUAAGUGGGAUGUGAAAUACCCGGGCUCAACUUGGGUGCUGCAUUCCAAACUGGGUGACUAAAGUGCAGGAGAGGAAAGUGGAAUUCCUAGUGUAGCGGUGAAAUGCGUAGAGAUUAGGAAGUACACCAGUGGCGAAGGCGACUUUCUGGACUGUAACUGACGCUGAGGCUCGAAAGCGUGGGGAGCAAACA
rnacentral:rRNA from 1 species